rnacentral:rRNA from 1 species
GACGAACGCUGGCGGCGUGCUUAAUACAUGCAAGUCGAACGGUGAACCGGGCUUCGGCCCGGGGAUCAGUGGCGAACGAGUGCGUAACACGUGGGCAACCUGCCCCAGACACUGGGAUAACCCCGGGAAACCGGGGCUAAUACCGGAUACUCCGGCUGGAUCGCAUGGUCCGGCCGGGAAAGCUCCGACGGUCUGGGAUGGGCCCGCGGCCUAUCAGCUCGUUGGUGGGGUCACGGCCCACCAAGGCGACGACGGGUAGCUGGUCUGAGAGGACGACCAGCCACACUGGAACUGAGAUACGGUCCAGACUCCUACGGGAGGCAGCAGUAGGGAAUCUUGCACAAUGGGCGCAAGCCUGAUGCAGCGACGCCGCGUGGGGGACGAAGGCCCUCGGGUUGUAAACCCCUUUCGGCAGGGAAGAAGCGCAAGUGACGGUACCUGCAGAAGAAGCUCCGGCUAACUACGUGCCAGCAGCCGCGGUAAGACGUAGGGAGCGAGCGUUGUCCGGAUUCAUUGGGCGU